AACACCAGGUAUCCACCACACACCAACGCCAGGCAUCAACCACACACCAACACCAGGCAUCAACCACACAUCAACACCAGGCAUCAACCACACACCAACACCAGGUAUCCAC